GACGAACGCUGGCGGCGUGCUUAACACAUGCAAGUCGAACGAGUGGCGAACGGGUGAGUAACACGCGAGUAACCUGCCCCUUCUUCUGGAUAACUGCUUGAAAGGGUAGCUAAUACGGGACAGUGGGGGAUGGGCUCGCGGCCUACCCGCUUGUUGGUGGGGUGAUGGCCUACCCAGGCGGCGACGGGUAGCCGGCCUGAGCGGGUGGACGGCCACACUGGGAGUGAGACACGGCCCAGACGCCUACGGGAGGACGAGGUGGGGAAUAUUGCACAAUGGGCGCAAGCCUGAUGCAGCGACGCCGCGUGAGGGAUGGAGUCCGUCGGUUUGUAAACCUCUUUCGCCAAUGAAGCGGUAGCUGGAUAGGAAGCGCCGGCUAACUACGUGCCAGCAGCCGCGGUAAUAC
rnacentral:rRNA from 1 species